rnacentral:rRNA from 1 species
GACGAACGCUGGCGGCGUGCUUAACACAUGCAAGUCGAACGGAAAGGCCCUGCUUUUGUGGGGUGCUCGAGUGGCGAACGGGUGAGUAACACGUGAGUAACCUGCCCUUGACUUUGGGAUAACUUCAGGAAACUGGGGCUAAUACCGGAUAGGAGCUCCUGCUGCAUGGUGGGGGUUGGAAAGUUUCGGCGGUUGGGGAUGGACUCGCGGCUUAUCAGCUUGUUGGUGGGGUAGUGGCUUACCAAGGCUUUGACGGGUAGCCGGCCUGAGAGGGUGACCGGCCACAUUGGGACUGAGAUACGGCGCAGACUCCUACGGGAGGCAGCAGUGGGGAAUAUUGCACAAUGGGCGGAAGCCUGAUGCAGCAACGCCGCGUGCGGGAUGACGGCCUUUGGGUUGUAAACCGCUUUCGCCUGUGACGAAGCGUGAGUGACGGUAAUGGGUAAAGAAGCACCGGCUAACUACGUG